CGGGUGAGUAACGCGUGAGUAACCUGCCUUACACAAGGGGAUAGCCUCUGGAAACGGAGAAUAAUACCCUAUGAAACUAUCUUAUCGCAUGAAAAGAUAGUCAAAGUGUUUUAGCGGUGUAAGAUGGACUUGCGUCUGAUUAGCUAGUUGGUGGGAUAACAGCCCACCAAGGCAACGAUCAGUAGCCGGCUUGAGAGAGUGUACGGCCACAUUGGGACUGAGACACGGCCCAG
rnacentral:rRNA from 1 species